GGGCAAAAAUAAAAAGUUAUAAGACUUUGAAAUUUGUGGAUUUUAGGGUUAUCUUUGGCGCCCCCUAGAACCUAAACCGUGGGGUGCAGCGUCAUGAUUUGAAUAACUUUUAAUGGCCAUGGGGUGUAGAUUGGCCUGAGCAAAUGUGGUGCCGGUGGAACGAAAGCCUUCGGAGGAGUUAGCGAAAUUCCAAUGUGUGCGGAUCGGCAAAAAGUGCGGAAUAACCCUUUAACCGUACAUUUGACAGAUACGCGCGCACUGUCUUUUUCGUAGAUCUUAUUGAGAUACAUGUGUGUGUCAAUUUUUGUGUCAUUUUGCCAAAGCGUACAGGUGUUACACUCAACAAUGUGUAUUUUCACCUUAGGGGACAAGAAAAAAUGGACUUUUUUCUCCUGCCAUGGGGGGGGCGCUCUUUUGGCGAGUAAAAAUUCCUUCACAAAUGUGUUGAUGGCUGGACAUUGCAUCAUCCUAGAAAACUUGGAGGCCAGUGGGGACAAAAAUAAAAAGUUAUAAGACUUUGAAAUUUGUGGAUUUUAGGGUUAUCUUUGGCGCCCCCUAGAACCUAAACCGUGGGGUGCAGCGUCAUGAUUUGAAUAACUUUUAAUGGCCAUGGGGUGUAGAUUGGCCUGAGCAAAUGUGGUGCCGGUGGAACGAAAGCCUUCGGAGGAGUUAGCGAAAUUCCAAUGUGUGCGGAUCGGCAAAAAGUGCGGAAUAACCCUUUAACCGUACAUUUGACAGAUACGCGCGCACUGUCUUUUUCGUAGAUCUUAUUGAGAUACAUGUGUGUGUCAAUUUUUGUGUCAUUUUGCCAAAGCGUACAGGUGUUACACUCAACAAUGUGUAUUUUCACCUUAGGGGACAAGAAAAAAUGGACUUUUUUCUCCUGCCAUGGGGGGGCGCUCUUUUGGCGAGUAAAAAUUCCUUCACAAAUGUGUUGAUGGCUGGACAUUGCAUCAUCCUAGAAAACUUGGAGGCCAGUGGGGACAAAAAUAAAAAGUUAUAAGACUUUUAAAUAUGUGGAUUUUACGGUUAUCUUUGGCGCCCCCUAGAACCUAAACCGUGGGGUGCAGCGUCAUGAUUUGAAUAACUUUUUAUGGCCAUGGGGUGUAGAUUGGCCUGAGAAAAUGUGGUGCCGGUGGAACGAAAGCCUUCGGAGGAGUUAGCGAAAUUCCAAUGUGUGCGGAUCGGCAAAAAAUGCGGAAUAACCCUUUAACCGUACAUUUGACAGAUACGUGCGCAUUGACUUUUUUGUAGAUCUUAUUGAGAUACAUGUGUGUCUCAAUUUUGGUGUCAUUUUGCCAAAGCGUACAGGUGUUACACUCAACAAUGUGUAUUUUCACCUUAGGGGACAAGAAAAAAUGGACUUUUUUCUCCUGCCAUGGGGGGCGCUCUUUUGGGGAGUAAAAAUUCCUUCACAAAUGUGUUGAUGGCUGGACAUUGCAUCAUCCUAGAAAACUUGGAGGCCAGUGAGGGCAAAAAUAAAAAGUUAUAAGACUUUUAAAUAUGUGGAUCUUAGGGUUAUCUUUGGCGCCCCCUAGAACCUAAACCGUGGGGUGCAGCGUCAUGAUUUGAAUAACUUUUAAUGGCCAUGGGGUGUAGAUUGGCCUGAGCAAAUGUGGUGCCGGUGGAACGAAAGCCUUCGGAGGAGUUAGCGAAAUUCCAAUGUGUGCGGAUCGGCAAAAAAUGCGAAAUAACCCUUUAACCGUACAUUUGACAGAUACGCCCGCACUGACUUUUUUGUAGAUCUUAUUGAGAUACAUGUGUGUGUCAAUUUUUGUGUCAUUUUGACAAAGCGUACAGGCGUGACAGUCAAUAGUGUGAAUUUUCACCUUAGGGGGCGCUAUGGAGCCAUUUUGCAUUUUCUUGUUUGGGCGACUUCGGAAUAUCAAAUUUUUCACCAGGCCCGGUCGUCCUGCCAAAUUUCAUGAGUUUUCGCCAGUGGGAAGUGGGCCAUUUUCCAGUUCAAAGGGGAGGAAAAAUAAUAACUAGGGCCCCGUUGGGGCACUGGCGGGCCCGAGCCGUGUCACGCCGCCCCCAGCGCGACCGCCUCCCUCACCCGAUCGCGUCACACUCAAGGUCCAAAGAUGGUGUGCGCACUUGUUUGUGGUCAUUUACCAUUAUAAUGAACGGGAGGCGCAGUUUCUACCAAAACGCUCGCUGCAGAAAAACUCCAUGUCCUAUUUGAAAAAAGUCUGGACCAUGAGUGAGGGCACAAACACAGCUAAGAUAUAUCCAAAUGGCAAGUUGCUCCUCCUUUCGCUUUUGCCGAGAGAGCAGUGCGUUUGAGCCAUUGAAUGAUGAACAGGAAAAACUUGACUUUAUUCUCCUGCCAUGGGGGGGCGCUCUUUUAAAGAGAAAAAACUCCUUCACAAAUGUGUUGAUGGCUGGACAUUGCAUCAUCCUAGAAAACAUGGAGGCCAGUGAGGACAAAAAUAAAAAGUUAUAAGACUUUUAAAUAUGUGGAUUUUAGGGUUAUAUUUGGCGCCCCCUAGAACCUAAACCGUGGGGUGCAGCGUCAUGAUUUGAAUAACUUUUAAUGGCCAUGGGGUGUAGAUUGGCCUGAGCAAAUGUGGUGCCGGUGGAACGAAAGCCUUCGGAGGAAUUAGCGAAAUUCCAA